GGAUAUGAGGACAAUCUGGCUGCGGUAUCUGUCACCCCACUGAUCGCCAGGGUUGAUCUGGCUGAGUUGGCUCAUUAGGCGGGUGUCUUCCUCCGUCACUGGUCCAAUGUGUGUACCUCAUGAAGCUGCAGUGGGCCGACUGGUCUUCAGUCAAGGGUAUACGAUUAAUUGCGCUCCCCUGCUACAACCUCCAAACAAACUCUCAACACAGAAGGAAAUGGGGGACCAGGUUCAAGCUCCUUGCUCCCCACCUGUACGGAAGAAGCUUCAGGAACA
rfam:Erinaceus europaeus unplaced genomic scaffold scaffold00501, whole genome shotgun sequence